GGCUCGUUAGCUCAGUUGGUUAGAGCUCCAGGCUAAUACUUUCAAAACUGGCGGUCGUGGGUUCAAAUCCCACACGAGCCC